UAUUAAAAGUAUCAUUCAUUUUUACUAUUAAAAAUCGGUGUGACUGAUGAAAUAACUAGACAGUUACACCUGGUAUACCACGUGUACCUUGUGCUGAUGUAUAAGGACCAGUUUUUAACAGUAAAAAUGGAUUGAAUUUUUAACA
rfam:Gossypium hirsutum cultivar TM-1 chromosome 5, whole genome shotgun sequence